UCACUGGGCGUAAAGCGUCCGCAGGCGGGUUGGUAAGUCGGGUGUGAAAGCCCGGAGCUCAACUACGGAACUGCAUUCGAAACUGCCUGGCUCGAGUACGGGAGAGGAUGGCGGAAUUCCUGGUGUAGAGGUGAAAUUCGUAGAUAUCAGGAGGAACACCGGUGGCGAAAGCGGCCAUCUGGCCCGAUACUGACGCUCAUGGACGAAAGCGCGGGGAGCAAACAGG
rnacentral:rRNA from 1 species